rnacentral:rRNA from 1 species
CCUACGGGUGGCAGCAGUGAGGAAUAUUGGUCAAUGGGCGGGAGCCUGAACCAGCCAAGUCGCGUGAGGGAAGACGGUCCUAUGGAUUGUAAACCUCUUUAGGCGGGGAGCAAUGCCGGGCACGCGUGCCCGGAGGGAGAGUACCCGCAGACUAAGCAUCGGCUAACUCCGUGCCGGCAGCCGCGGUAGUACGGAGGAUGCGAGCGUUAUCCGGAUUUAUGGGGUUAAACGGGUGCGUAGGGCGAGCGUUGAGUCACUGGUAAAAUUGAGGGUCUCAACUCCUUCCCGCCAUUGAAACUGGCGUUCUUGAGUGGAAGAGAAGUAAGCGGAAUGCGUGGUGUAGCGGUGAAAUGCAUAGAUAUCACGCAGAACCCCGAUUGCGAAGGCAGCAUGCCGGCUUCCGACUGACGCUGAAGCACGAAAGCGUGGGGAUCGAACAGGAUUAGAUACCCGGGUAGUC